rnacentral:rRNA from 1 species
UACAGAGGGUGCGAGCGUUGUCCGGAAUCACUGGGCGUAAAGGGCGCGUAGGUGGCGCCCCAAGUCAGUGGUGAAAGCUCGAUGCUCAACAUCGAGUCGGCCACUGAGACUGGGGGGCUCGAGCACUGUAGAGGCAGAUGGAAUUCCCGGUGUAGCGGUGAAAUGCGUAGAGAUCGGGAGGAACACCAGAGGCGAAGGCGGCAACCUGGACAAGCACUGACACUCAACUGCGAAAGCGUGGGGAGCAAACAGG